GGUGGGCGGAUGCCUACCGAGAGACCAGGGGAGCUAAGUGAUUGAUGGAGCUUCCGGAAGUCUUGGCGGCUGUACCAGCGCUAAUGUUCCUCCUUUUCCUGAGGUGGAGUGGGCCGAAGAGGUGGUCAGGUAUUCUAAUCACAGAAUUACUGGAGCAUCAAGAAGUGCCUGCAUGCUUGGAAGGGCUUCCAGGCAGAUGAACACACCUCAGCACCGGGUGGCAUUUUCCCAGGGUGCAACCCGGAGCGGCUCUGGGUCACACUGACAAGGACAACAGGGUUAACAAUUUCCAGAGACAGCCCGUACAUAGAAGGAAUGUUUACUGAAAAAAAUGAAGAGGGGUCAGGGCAAGGCGAGGAGCGAGAAGCACCCCCAAGGAAACAGAGAAGACCAGUACAACUGUACCUCUUUGCCAGCUGCACCAUCCGUACCAGGUGGCACGUUCCAGAGCCAUAGCCUCUGUUCUAUUCAUCUCCAGUCUCCUGGGGUGGAAGUGUCCAGCGCAGAGACUGCCACACUGCAAGAUGAAGGGGCUGGACACACGGAAGAGAGAGGCGGAACCCUGCACCCCCUCGACCUCAGCCCUACUGAGUCUCCAAUGGGGCCACGCUUCUGAGUGCACCUCCCCCUGUCAUCUGUAAUGUGAGGGGGAACCAGGCUUGAUAUGGCAUUCCCAAUCCAGGGC
rnacentral:antisense_RNA from 1 species